AUGGGAGCGCUCGAGGAGGCCCACCUCGCCACUGUCGCCGCGUGCGUGUGCGACGACGACCAGGAGGAGGAUCUUCUGGUGGAGCUCGGCGACGGGAAGGCGCCGGGGAACAUCAUGGAGCUAACGGUGCGCGCGCUGCUAGUGGGGAUCGGCGAUGACGACCGCCGAGAGGGGCUGCGCAGGACGCCCAAGAGCGUCGCCCGCCAUUGCUGUGCCGUCAACGGCUGCUGCCGGUACGUGCUCCGCCUCCUCUUCUCCUCUCUCCCCACCACGGCCUCAUCCGCGCAUGCGGGAGCUCUUGUUCCGGUCGAAUGGGGUGCAGUUUCUGUUGCUCUGGAGAUUCGAUUUGAUUCGAUUCUCCCCUCCUGCGCACAUCUUGUGUUCUCUUCAUCAACCACUGUCUACGGGUGGCCCAAGGAAGUGCCCUGCACCGAGGAGUUCCCACUCUCCGCGACCAACCCUUACAGCCGAACAAAGCUUGUCAUUGAAGAUAUCUCCCAUGACCUCCAGUGCUCGAACCCUGACUGGAAGAUCAUACUGCUGAGGAACUUCAACCCGGUCGACGCUCACCCGAGUGGCUACAUCGGGGACGACCCACUUGGAGUCCCCAACAACCUGAUGCCCUAUGUGCAGCAAGUCGCUGUUGGGAGGCAGCCUGCGCUGACGGUUUAUGGGACUGACUACAACAAGAAGGAUGGAACAGGGGUAUGUGCAGCAGUUUUCACAAGCGACCACACAUUAUCAGGGGCAGGAUGCACUUAA
rnacentral:rRNA from 1 species